rnacentral:rRNA from 1 species
GGGCCCGCACAAGCGGUGGAGCAUGUGGUUUAAUUCGAUGAUACGCGAGGAACCUUACCAAGGCUUAAAUGUAGAGGGACAGGCGGCGAAAGUUGCCCUUCUUCGGACUCUCUACAAGGUGCUGCAUGGUUGUCGUCAGCUCGUGCCGUGAGGUGUCGGGUUAAGUCCCAUAACGAGCGCAACCCCUAUCUUUAGUUGCCAGCGGUUCGGCCGGGGACUCUAAAGAAACUGCCCGCGCAAGCGGUGAGGAAGGUGGGGAUGACGUCAAAUCAUCACGGCCCUUACGUCUUGGGCUACACACGUGCUACAAUGGUAGUGACAAUGGGCAGCCACUCCGCGAGGAGGCGCAAAUCCACAAACACUAUCUCAGUUCGGAUCGGAGUCUGCAACUCGACUCCGUG